rnacentral:tRNA from 1 species
GGUUAUGGCUCAGCGGUAGAGCGCUGGCCUCCCAUGUGUGAUGCCCUGGGUUUGAUCCUCAGCACCA